UACGUAGGGCGCGAGCGUUAAUCGGAAUUACUGGGCGUAAAGCGUGCGCAGGCGGUUUUGUAAGUCUGUCGUGAAAUCCCCGGGCUCAACCUGGGAAUGGCGAUGGAGACUGCAAGGCUGGAAUCUGGCAGAGGGGGGUAGAAUUCCACGUGUAGCAGUGAAAUGCGUAGAGAUGUGGAGGAACACCGAUGGCGAAGGCAGCCCCCUGGGCUAAGAUUGACGCUCAUGCACGAAAGCGUGGGGAGCAAACAGG
rnacentral:rRNA from 1 species